AUCUCUCUCUCUCUCUUCUCUC
rnacentral:sRNA from 1 species